rnacentral:rRNA from 1 species
UACGAAGGUGGCAAGCGUUGUUCGGAUUUACUGGGCGUACAGGGAGCGUAGGCGGUUGGAUAAGCCCUCCGUGAAAUCUCCAGGCUUAACCUGGAAAGUGCAGAGGGGACUGUUCAGCUAGAGGAUGGGAGAGGAGCGCGGAAUUCCCGGUGUAGCGGUGAAAUGCGUAGAGAUCGGGAGGAAGGCCGGUGGCGAAGGCGGCGCUCCGGAACAUUUCUGACGCUGAGGCUCGAAAGCGUGGGGAGCAAACAGG